UGGACCCAAAAGUGCAAACAGGGGAGGUGAGGGGGACAACGACUCUACGUUUCGAUGUGCAGCAAUGGUGGAGAUCAGCGCAGAUAUACAUUGAAUUUAAACACCAGCAAAUGGAACAAAAUAAAGCGGUGGCAAUAAAAGAGCGAGAGAGGGAGAGAGAGACAACUCUGUCUCCCCCUCCCCUUACAGCCUCCUUCAUUUCUCUCCAUCCCUAUGGCACAAAGAUACAAGCACAGCCACAGACAAGCUAAUCUCAACUAAGCACAGCAUCAGCAAGAACUGAACGCAAACGGAUGGGAAACAAACUACAUUUCAUCACGGGCUAAUUGCAGUCGUCUAAACCUACCGUAGUGUUCAUGUGUGGGAGCUGAGGCCUUUCCCAGACACAACAGAAACCAGAGGCUGUGGUUGAUUUCAUGACUUCCUCCUCAUUGUUUGCCUGUCUGUGUGACUGGAAACCGGCAGUGACAGACAGAUGACUCUUGUGAAGAACCUGGCUCCCCUUUAGAAGUAGUCACUAAUCAAGGCCGCAGGCAGAGUGCCAUGCUUUUCCCACACUUCUGAGGCAUCAUAACCUGUCAUGCUGACCUUGCUGCUCAACUCAACUGUUUUCAGCUUGAUGCCCAAAUUAUCCCGGCACAUUGCUGCCAAGUUGCUGCAGUAGUUUACACACAAUCCUGCAUCCAGUGGUCAUUAAACAAGAGUACAACAUGCAUUAAGAGAGAAAGUCGUACUGAUUUGCAACAACACGAGGGUGAGUAAGCGAUAGUUCACUUUUUUUUGGGGGGGUUUAUGGCUUUAAGCUUGCAUGUUUGGCUUUCAUCAGUAUGCACUUAAGUUUGGGCUUCCAUCUGCUCAUCAGAAUGUUAAACAUCAAAGGCAGGCAUGUUUUAAAGACUAUUUAAGACAAUUUGGAAGCCCUGCAAACAAUAAUGAUCAAAGUUUUUGCAUGUCUUUCUUGGUUGUCCGGCAUGUUUAGUCAGAGUGCCGCUCCUCAGUUCAAAUGCUAAAGAUUAAAAAUGAGCUUGUUAGCGACUGCACUGUUCAUUGACACACCAGUCAGCCACAUGUUCAUUGCAAUCCAACCACUUUGAUUGAGGAACUUGAGGCAUUUUCUUUUAUGAUUUUCAGUGUGUGUGUGUGUGUAUUCAGCCACCCUGGACUCCUCAAGAGUUUUCUUCCCACUUAAGUAUUUUCCUCUGCAGCAUUUUGCCUGCCAUGAUGUGACUGACACAAUACACCACUCCAUCACUCUCGUCACGCUGAUUUACGCUCUUAAGAUUUUUUGCUGAGUAAAUUCUGUGCCAUAUCCAAAUCCCCCUCUUCCCGUCCUCCCGACACUCCUUCUCUCAGAUGGAUUUAUACUGAUUUUAAGACUUUAUCUUCUCUGGGUUUGUAAUUUCUCUAAGCAGACACUUAACCAAUGCAAAGCUUUGCUGACUAAGAUGGUUGGGAGUUAGCGAGAGUGAUUACAACCAUAAGCGCUAAGAAACAUCAUCACACACACACACUCAUGUGCAAAUCCAUAUAAACGCAUGCACUUAAGGACAUACGCUCACGCGAUAUCUGUAUGAAAACCUCAUGUUUAGUCUUACUGUUUCCUUCCUCCUUUUAUAUGUCCAAUACUGUUCAUAUAUGAACUCAUUUUUAAUGCCUAUAAACAUGAAUUUUACCUCAUCCUGGUAUUUUCA